CUUGGCCUGAAGCAUCGACUGUUUAUUCAUUUCCAUAGAUGCUGCCAGACCUCCUGAGUUCCUCCAGGGCUCUGUGUGCAUUGCUCCAGAGUGGUGUUGGUUACUUUCUUCAAAAAGUGAGAAGGGUUCUUUCGUAGACCCAGACCUGGAGCUAAACGCUGACUUUGGUUCUCUGUGGGAAUGGGACCCACCCUCGGGGUUUCAGGACUGGCCGUUGUUCGGCACGCCAAGGGUUCAGCCUGAGAGUCCGGCUCGAAUUCAGAAGCCUAAGAUCUCGGGAUUCUGGAGACGGGUAGAUCGAAGCAGGCAUUUAUAGGAAAGUGCUGACUGGUGGCUUUGAGGCGAAUGGUCCUGGGUUCGAAUCCUGCCGGCUCCUUGCACGCUUUCCAUCCGUGUGGGUUGAGUGUCGAGCUGGCAACUCCGCCUCAUUAAAAAAACAGACGAAAACGCCAGCCGAUGAGCCAAAAGGAACAAUUUACAGUGAAUAAAAAUGAUCGGGAGCUUGCUGAAGAUCUCUCUAUAUCGUAUUGGACCAAUUGUAAGACUGUGAUUUCUUGAACAAGUUCAGUACACACUGUGGAGGAUGUAUCUAACCACAGUUUAUUGUUCGACCAGACCAAGUUUCCAACCGCAGAGAGCUGCAAAGUGCUUCAGCUCACACAGGUGCAAUAGCAGCGACCAGAUUACAAAGCUCGGGUGGCAUGCCAUCGGGAGAGUGGGGGGGGGGUCUCCCCGUUCCUUCCAUUAGUGAGCGCACGCUCCCCUUCCCCCAGUCGAAGCCGCGCUGUCUAAAAUUCCCGUCACUGUCCGAGGAGGAGUGCAGAGACACCCUCCAAGAGCAAUUGCAAAGAAAAGGCACAAAGUUGUUCCCCUUCUGCAGAUCAUCAGGGAGAAGAAUCAAAGAAAAACUCAGCUGUUCCUGUGACCACGGCAUAGAUAUGUGCGUGAGUAGCAACUCAUCUCAAACGAUCAUGCUAUGGAGCACAAAGGAAGAAUGUUAAAAAUAUUAAAGUCCCUUGAUGGUGGAUGCUGCUUUCUCGUGGUAGUGCUCCUCCGGAGGGGGCUUUUCUUCUGGUAGACUGGACUGAUUCCACCACUUUCUUCUGCUCAUGGGCAUUGGGGUCUCCAAGCCAGGCUGCCAUACAUCACCAUUUCACAGUGUACCAAGAGAGUGCAUUUAUAAAAAAAUGCACUGAAAUACUUAUUCCUGAUGUAAGUGAGGGAUGAGGGGGCCAACCCUCUUCAUUCCAAUAUUCUCCCACUGACUUGUUUCACCCCCAGCAGUAAGUAGAAAGUGGGGAGGGA